GGGGGCCUACACAUGCAAGUCGAGCGGAUGAGAGGAGCUUGCUCCUUGAUUUAGCGGCGGACGGGUGAGUAAUGCCUAGGAAUCUGCCUGGUAGUGGGGGAUAACGUUCCGAAAGGAACGCUAAUACCGCAUACGUCCUACGGGAGAAAGCAGGGGACCUUCGGGCCUUGCGCUAUCAGAUGAGCCUAGGUCGGAUUAGCUAGUUGGUGAGGUAAUGGCUCACCAAGGCGACGAUCCGUAACUGGUCUGAGAGGAUGAUCAGUCACACUGGAACUGAGACACGGUCCAGACUCCUACGGGAGGCAGCAGUGGGGAAUAUUGGACAAUGGGCGAAAGCCUGAUCCAGCCAUGCCGCGUGUGUGAAGAAGGUCUUCGGAUUGUAAAGCACUUUAAGUUGGGAGGAAGGGCAUUAACCUAAUACGUUAGUGUUUUGACGUUACCGACAGAAUAAGCACCGGCUAACUUCGUGCCAGCAGCCGCGGUAAUACGAAGGGUGCAAGCGUUAAUCGGAAUUACUGGGCGUAAAGCGCGCGUAGGUGGUUCGUUAAGUUGGAUGUGAAAGCCCCGGGCUCAACCUGGGAACUGCAUCCAAAACUGGCGAGCUAGAGUACGGUAGAGGGUGGUGGAAUUUCCUGUGUAGCGGUGAAAUGCGUAGAUAUAGGAAGGAACACCAGUGGCGAAGGCGACCACCUGGACUGAUACUGACACUGAGGUGCGAAAGCGUGGGGAGCAAACAGGAUUAGAUACCCUGGUAGUCCACGCCGUAAACGAUGUCAACUAGCCGUUGGGUUCCUUGAGAACUUAGUGGCGCAGCUAACGCAUUAAGUUGACCGCCUGGGGAGUACGGCCGCAAGGUUAAAACUCAAAUGAAUUGACGGGGCCCGCACAAGCGUGCAGCAUGUGGUUUAAUUCGAAGCACGCGAAG
rnacentral:rRNA from 1 species